UACAGAGGGUGCAAGCGUUAAUCGGAAUUACUGGGCGUAAAGCGUGCGUAGUCGGUUAUUUAAGUCGGGCGUGAAAGCCCCGGGCUCAACCUGGGAAUUGCGUUCGAUACUGGAUAGCUAGAGUUCGGCAGAGGGAAGCGGAAUUUCGGGUGUAGCGGUGAAAUGCGUAGAUAUCGGGAGGAACACCAGUGGCGAAGGCGGCACUCUGGGCCAGUACUGACACUGAGGAGCGAAAGCCAGGGGAGCAAACGGG
rnacentral:rRNA from 1 species